CACCAUAGCAACACCAACACGUAGGCACAUGCUCCAGCAGGUAUAUCUCACUGGUCACCAUAGCAACACCAACACGUAGGCACAUGCUCCAGCAGGUAUAUCUCACUGGUCACCAUAGCAACACCCACACGUAGGCACAUGCUCCAGCAGGUAUAUCUCACUGGUCACCAUAGCAACACCCACACGUAGGCACAUGCUCCAGCAGGUAUAUCUCACUGGUCACCAUAGCAACACCCACACGUAGGCACAUGCUCCAGCAGGUAUAUCUCACUGGUCACCAUAACAACACCCACGCGUAGGCACAUGCUCCAGCAGGUAUAUCUCACUGGUCACCAUAACAACACCCACACGUAGGCACAUGCUCCAGCAGCUAUAUCUCACUGGUCACCAUAAUAUAAAUAAUAAUAAUAAUAAUAAUAUAUGCCAUUUAGCAGACGCUUUUAUCCAAAGCGACUUACAGUCAUGCGUGCAUACAUUCUACGUAUGGGUGGUCCCGGGAAUCGAACCCACUACCCUG